GCUUUAGCAGAUGGUUAUUAUGAUAAUCUUGAUCUCCUGAGCUAGCAGGAAGAAUUCGGUGGAGAUGAAACUAAUGAAUC
rnacentral:sRNA from 1 species